UGGGGAAUUUUGGACAAUGGGGGCAACCCUGAUCCAGCCAUGCCGCGUGCGGGAAGAAGGCCUUCGGGUUGUAAACCGCUUUUGUCCGGGGAGAAAAGGCGUCCAUUAAUACUGGGCGUUCUUGACGGUACUGGAAGAAUAAGCACCGGCUAACUACGUGCCAGCAGCCGCGGUAAUACGUAGGGUGCGAGCGUUAAUCGGAAUUACUGGGCGUAAAGCGUGCGCAGGCGGUGAGUUAAGUCUGAUGUGAAAGCCCCGGGCUCAGCCUGGGAACGGCAUUGGAAACUGGCUCGCUGGAGUGUGGCAGAGGGGGGUGGAAUUCCGCGUGUAGCAGUGAAAUGCGUAGAGAUGCGGAGGAACACCGAUGGCGAAGGCAGCCCCCUGGGCCAACACUGACGCUCAGGCACGAAAGCGUGGGGAGCAAACAGGAUUAGAUACCCUGGUAGUCCACGCCCUAAACGAUGG
rnacentral:rRNA from 1 species